rnacentral:rRNA from 1 species
AUUGAACGCUGGCGGCAGGCCUAACACAUGCAAGUCGAACGAGUGGCGGACGGGUGAGUAAUGUCUGGGAAACUGCCUGAUGGAGGGGGAUAACUACUGGAAACGGUAGCUAAUACCGCAUACCAUCGGAUGUGCCCAGAUGGGAUUAGCUAGUAGGUGGGGUAAAGGCUCACAUAGGCGACGAUCCCUAGCUGGUCUGAGAGGAUGACCAACAACACUGGAAGUGAGAAAAGGUCCAGACUCCUACGGGAGGCAGCAGUAGUGAAUAUUGCACAAUGGGCGCAAGCCUGAUGCAGCCAUGCCGCGUGUAUUAAGAAGGCCUUCGGGUUGGAAAGUACUUGCAGCGGGGAGGCGUUACCCGCAUAAGAAGCACCGGCGAGCUCCGUGGCAGCAGCCGCGGUAAUAC